AUACAAUAUAUAAAUCAUAGAGAGUAAAUGCAUAUUAAAUAACAUCAGCUAACACCUAGCAUAUCUUACACAAUGAACAUCAGACAUGUUAUCAUAUAC